AAAUAUCCGUUGGGGUGCUCCGCGAUGCCGGGGCUGAGAGGCGAUGAUGCCGACCCAUCGAACCUGAUCCGGUCAGUACCGGCGGAGGGAACGGAGUAUGGGCUGCA
rnacentral:ncRNA from 2 species